CCCGCACAAGCGGCGGAGCAUGUGGUUUAAUUCGAAGCAACGCGAAGAACCUUACCAGGUCUUGACAUCCCGAUGCUAUUUCUAGAGAUAGAAAGUUACUUCGGUACAUCGGUGACAGGUGGUGCAUGGUUGUCGUCAGCUCGUGUCGUGAGAUGUUGGGUUAAGUCCCGCAACGAGCGCAACCCCUAUUGUUAGUUGCCAUCAUUCAGUUGGGCACUCUAGCGAGACUGCCGGUAAUAAACCGGAGGAAGUGGGGAUGACGUCAAAUCAUCAUGCCCCUUAUGACCUGGGCUACACACGUGCUACAAUGGUUGGUACAACGAGUUGCGAGUCGGUGACGGCGAGCUAAUCUCUUAAAGCCAAUCUCAGUUCGGAUUGUAGGCUGCAACUCGCCUACAUGAAGUCGGAAUCGCUAGUAAUCGCGGAUCAGCACGCCGCGGUGAAUACGUUCCCGGGCCUU
rnacentral:rRNA from 1 species